UACGUAGGUGGCUAGCGUUGUCCGGAUUUACUGGUCGUAAAGAGCGCGCAGGCGGUCGUUCAAGUCGAGUGUGAAAGCCCCCGGCUCAACUGGGGAGGGUCACUCGAUACUGAUCGACUCGAAGGCAGGAGAGGGAAGCGGAAUUCCCGGUGUAGUGGUGAAAUGCGUAGAUAUCGGGAGGAACACCAGUGGCGAAGGCGGCUUUCUGGCCUGUUCUUGACGCUGAGGCGCGAAAGCUAGGGUAGCAAACGGG
rnacentral:rRNA from 1 species